AUUACAUAGUCCCCAAACUAAAUAGUAAGACUUUAAAUAUAUUCUUAGGGAGAGCAAUAACAUUGCAACCCUUGUGGAAACCUUCAUUUUUUCAUGUCUAAGGGGAAAAAUAUAUAGAAUCAUUAAUGGAGGGGUGCGGCUUCUGUGUGCUGGAUGGCCACAGGGAGAAGAUUGGUAACUUCCGGGUGGAGCCCACAGGGAGAAGAUUGGUAACUUCCGGGUGGAGCCCACAGAGCUUUUCCGCGGGAGGGGAGAACAUCCCAAGAUGGACAAGCUGAAAGUGAGCAUCUAGCCGGAGGACUUCACCAUCAACUGCAGCAAGUGAGCAGUAGAGCAUACAGAACAAACACAGUUUGCUUUUCCAUAGGCGCUAAGAUAGCAGUGGCCCCUAUGGAUGACAAUGGGAGGAAGGUGCAGCAUGACGACACAGUGACCUGGCUGGCCUCCUCGGUGGAGAACGUCCAGGGAAAAUUCAAAUACAUCAUGUUCAAACCCAGCUCCAGACUUAAGGGAGAGAACGACUGGCAGAAGUACGAGGUGGCUUGUAAACGCAAGCCGAAGGUGACAACCAUCAGGAGGCUGUACCGAGGACUGGAAGCACCGGGAGAUGAAGACCAGACAGAGAGGAGUGGCACUCUACUUUAUAGUCAAGGUACAGACCUCACAACUAUCCUCAGUGUGGUUAACAAAGUGCAAGCCUGUUCAGUUUAA
rnacentral:lncRNA from 1 species